rnacentral:piRNA from 1 species
UGGGGGAUACAGAAACUGCACAUGCUUA